rnacentral:rRNA from 1 species
UGGGGAAUCUUGCACAAUGGGGGCAACCCUGAUGCAGCGACGCCGCGUGAGCGAUGAAGCCCUUCGGGGCGUAAAGCUCUUUCGACCGGAACGAUAAUGACGGUACCGGGAGAAGAAGCUGCGGCUAACUACGUGCCAGCAGCCGCGGUAAUACGUAGGCAGCAAGCGUUGUUCGGAGUUACUGGGCGUAAAGAGUGCGUAGGCGGUUUUCUAAGUUCGGUGUGAAAUCUCCCGGCUUAACUGGGAGGGUGCGCCGAAGACUGGGAAGCCGGAGUGUGGGAAAGGCAGGCGGAAUUCCUGGUGUAGCGGUGAAAUGCGUAGGUAUCAGGAGGAACACCGGCGGUGUAGACGGCUUGCUAGACCAUAACUGACGUUGAGGCACGAAAGCGUGGGUAGCAAACA